rnacentral:rRNA from 1 species
UACGUAGGUGGCAAGCGUUGUCCGGAUUUAUUGGGCGUAAAGGGCGCGCAGGCGGUUCGUUAAGUUCGAGGUGAAAUCUCCCGGCUCAACUGGGAGGGGUCUUCGGAUACUGGCGGACUUGAGGAGUGCAGAGGUGAGUGGAAUUCUCGGUGUAGUGGUGAAAUGCGUAGAUAUCGAGAGGAACACCAGUGGCGAAGGCGGCAUUCUGGACCAUUACUGACGCUGAGGAGCGAAAGCCAGGGGAGCAAACGGG